UGAACGCUGGCGGCGUGCCUAAUACAUGCACGUCGAGCGAACAGACGAGGAGCUUGCUCCUCUGACGUUAGCGGCGGACGGGUGAGUAACACGUGGAUAACCUACCUAUAAGACUGGGAUAACUUCGGGAAACCGGAGCUAAUACCGGAUAAUAUAUUGAACCGCAUGGUUCAAUAGUGAAAGACGGUUUUGCUGUCACUUAUAGAUGGAUCCGCGCCGCAUUUGCUAGUUGGUAAGGUAACGGCUUACCAAGGCGACGAUGCGUAGCCGACCUGAGAGGGUGAUCCGCCACACUGGAACUGAGACACGGUCCAGACUCCUACGGGAGGCAGCAGUAGGGAAUCUUCCGCAAUGGGCGAAAGCCUGACGGAGCAACGCCGCGUGAGUGAUGAAGGUCUUCGGAUCGUAAAACUCUGUUAUUAGGGAAGAACAAAUGUGUAAGUAACUAUGCACGUCUUGACGGUACCUAAUCAGAAAGCCACGGCUAACUACGUG
rnacentral:rRNA from 1 species